rnacentral:rRNA from 1 species
CGGACGGGUGAGUAAUGUCUGGGAAACUGCCCGAUGGCGGGGGAUAACUACUGGAAACGGUAGCUAAUACCGCAUAAUGUCUGCGGACCAAAGCGGGGGACCUCCGGGCCUCGCGCCAUCAGAUGAACCCAUAUGGGAUUAGCUAGUAGGUGGGGUAACGGCUCACCUAGGCGACGAUCCCUAGCUGGUCUGAGAGGAUGACCAGCCACACUGGAACUGAGACACGGUCCAG